UACGGGGGGAGCAAACGUUGUUCGGAAUCAUUGGGCGUAAAGCGCGCGUAGGCGGCCCUGUAAGUCCGUUGUGAAAGUCAAAGGCUCAACCUUUGAAAGCCGAUGGAUACUGCAGGGCUGGAGUCCGGAAGAGGCGAGUGGAAUUCCUGGUGUAGCGGUGGAAUGCGCAGAUAUCAGGAGGAACACCAAUAGCGAAGGCAGCUCGCUGGGACGGUACUGACGCUGAGGCGCGAAAGCGUGGGGAGCGAACAGG
rnacentral:rRNA from 1 species